rnacentral:ncRNA from 2 species
UCUUAAAUAAUAUGUGAAGGUGCAAUACUUCCGGUAUUGCUUAAAAGGGAACCACGUGUAAUUCGUGGGCUGACGGGCAACUGUGAUCCGCCUAGCGGAAGCCAGAUACCUGCCGAAACAUAUUUGUUUGG